UUUAGAUGUGAAAGAAGAUAUCGAUAAGGAGCCGACUCUGAGCGAAGCCGACACCGAAAUUUACAUACCGCGGGAUACAAGCAAACGACCUGAAUAAAUCCGAAUAUGGAGAAGAAGAAAAUGAGGA